rnacentral:rRNA from 1 species
GACGAACGCUGGCGGCGUGCCUAAUACAUGCAAGUCGAACGCAGUGGGGACGGGUGAGUAACACGUGGGUAACCUCCCAUCAGAGGGGAUAACACUUGGAAACAGGUGCUAAACCGAUACUGAUGGAUGGACCCGCGGUGCAUUAGCUAGUUGGUGAGGUAACGGCUCACCAAGGCCACGAUGCAUAGCGGAACAGUGAGGGUGAUCGGGCACACUGGGACUGAGACAAGGCCCAGAUGCAUACUGGAGGUAGCAGUAGGGAAUCUUCUGACAUGGACGACAGUCUGACCGAGCAAAGCCGCGUGAGUGAAGAAGGUUUUCGGAUCGUAAAACUCUGUUGUUAGAGAAGCGGUAUCUAACCAGACAGCCACGGCUAACUACGUGCCAGCAGCCGCGGUAAUUC